rnacentral:rRNA from 1 species
CCUACGGGAGGCAGCAGUGGGGAAUAUUGCACAAUGGGGGAAACCCUGAUGCAGCGACGCCGCGUGAGGGAAGAAGUAAUUCGUUAUGGAAAGCUCCAUCAGUAGGGAAGAAAAUGACGGUACCUGAGUAAGAAGCCCCGUCGAACUCCGUGCCAGCAGCCGCGGUAAUACGGAGGGGGCAAGCGUUAUCCGGAUUUACUGGGUGUAAUGGGAGCGUAGACGGCAGUGCAAGUCUGGAGUGAAAGGCGGGGGCUCAACCCCCGGACUGCUCUGGAAACUGUACGGCUGGAGUGCAGGAGAGGUAAGUGGAAUUCGUGGUGUAGCGGUGAAAUGCGUAGAUAUUAGGAGGAACACCAGUGGCGAAGGCGGCUUACUGGACUGUAACUGACGUUGAGGCUCGAAAGCGUGGGGAGCAAACAGGAUUAGAUACCCUUGUAGUC